UAACAUUCAGAGCGUCAACUGAUGAGGUGAGAGGAUGCUGUGAAGCAGUAUCCCAAUACAGAAUGCAUAUAAAGGGAAUGAUAUAAAGC